GAAAGAUGAAAAGGACUUUGAAAAGAGAGUCAAAGAGUGCUUGAAAUUGUCGGGAGGGAAGCGGAUGGGGGCCGGCGAUGCGCCCCGGUCGGAUGUGGAACGGUGUUGAGCCGGUCCGCCGAUCGACUCGGGGCGUGGCCAGCGUGGAUUCGGGGGGGCGGCCAAAGCCCGGGCCUUUGAUACGCCCGUGGAACGCCGUCUCCUCGAUUGUGGUAGGCAGCGCGCGCCUCUGGCGUGGGCAGUUUGUGAGCUACAAUAGAUGUGCUCAGACCCGUCAUAUCAUCAUACGACCAGGCGAAUAUGUCUUCAUACCCUUUUAGAAAUUCCGUGUACUCUUCCUUUUCUGAUGGUGAUAGAUGAACACUGAUGCGCGUUUCUUUGACAUUCUCUGUGUCCCCCAAGUUGAUAACCUCAGUUUCGUCCAAGUUGGACUUAGGCCUAUUCUCAAAGUUCUCAACCUCUU
rnacentral:rRNA from 1 species